rnacentral:rRNA from 1 species
GAUGAACGCUGGCGGCGUGCCUAAUACAUGCAAGUCGAGCGAACAGAUAAGGAGCUUGCUCCUUUGACGUUAGCGGCGGACGGGUGAGUAACACGUGGGUAACCUAUCUAUAAGACUGGAAUAACUCCGGGAAACCGGGGCUAAUGCCGGAUAACAUGUUGAACCGCAUGGUUCUACAGUGAAAGACGGCUUUGCUGUCACUUAUAGAUGGACCCGCGCCGUAUUAGCUAGUUGGUGAGGUAACGGCUCACCAAGGCAACGAUACGUAGCCGACCUGAGAGGGUGAUCGGCCACACUGGAACUGAGACACGGUCCAGACUCCUACGGGAGGCAGCAGUAGGGAAUCUUCCGCAAUGGGCGAAAGCCUGACGGAGCAACGCCGCGUGAGUGAUGAAGGUCUUCGGAUCGUAAAACUCUGUUAUUAGGGAAGAACAAAUGCGUAAGUAACUGUGCGCGUCUUGACGGUACCUAAUCAGAAAGCCACGGCUAACUACGUG